rnacentral:rRNA from 1 species
GCGUGAAGCCUCCUUCAAGAUGAGAUUUCCCAUAGCGUAAGCUAGUAAGACCCCUUGAAGACUACAAGGUUGAUAGGUCAGAGGUGUAAGUAUGGCAACAUAUUUAGCUGACUGAUACUAAUAGGUCGAGGGCUUGACCAAU